GAAGAAUAAGCACCGGCUAACUACGUGCCAGCAGCCGCGGUAAUACGUAGGGUGCAAGCGUUAAUCGGAAUUACUGGGCGUAAAGCGUGCGCAGGCGGUUUUGUAAGUCUGACGUGAAAUCCCCGGGCUCAACCUGGGAAUUGCGUUGGAGACUGCAAGGCUAGAAUCUGGCAGAGGGGGGUAGAAUUCCACGUGUAGCAGUGAAAUGCGUAGAGAUGUGGAGGAACACCGAUGGCGAAGGCAGCCCCCUGGGUCAAGAUUGACGCUCAUGCACGAAAGCGUGGGGAGCAAACAGGAUUAGAUACCCUGGUAGUCCACGCCCUAAACGAUGUCUACUAGUUGUCGGGUUUUAAUUAACUUGGUAACGCAGCUAACGCGUGAAGUAGACCGCCUGGGGAGUACGGUCGCAAGAUUAAAACUCAAAGGAAUUGACGGGGACCCGCACAAGCGGUGGAUGAUGUGGAUUAAUUCGAUGCAACGCGAAAAACCUUACCUACCCUUGACAUGUACGGAAGGCCGGAGAGAUCUGGCUGUGCUCGAAAGAGAGCCGUAACACAGGUGCUGCAUGGCUGUCGUCAGCUCGUGUCGUGAGAUGUUGGGUUAAGUCCCGCAACGAGCGCAACCCUUGUCAUUAGUUGCUACAUUCAGUUGAGCACUCUAAUGAGACUGCCGGUGACAAACCGGAGGAAGGUGGGGAUGACGUCAAGUCCUCAUGGCCCUUAUGGGUAGGGCUUCACACGUCAUACAAUGGUACAUACAGAGGGCCGCCAACCCGCGAGGGGGAGCUAAUCCCAGAAAGUGUAUCGUAGUCCGGAUCGCAGUCUGCAACUCGACUGCGUGAAGUUGGAAUCGCUAGUAAUCGCGGAUCAGCAUGUCGCGGUGAAUACGUUCCCGGGUCUUGUACACACCGCCCGUCACACCAUGGGAGCGGGUUUUACCAGAAGUAGGUAGCUUAACCGCAAGGAGG
rnacentral:rRNA from 1 species